rnacentral:rRNA from 1 species
CCCUUAGAUGUCCUGGGCCGCACGCGCGUUACACUGAUGCAUUCAACGAGCUUAUAACCUUGGCCGAGAGGCCUGGGCAAUCUUGUUAACGUGUAUCGUGAUAGGGAUAGAUUAUUGAAAUUAUUAAUCUUGAACGAGGAAUUCCUAGUAAACGCAGAUCAUCAAUCUGCAUUGAUUACGUCCCUGCCCUUUGUACACACCGCCCGUCGCACCUACCGAUUGGAUGGUCCGGUGAAGCCUCGGGAUUGUGGUUCUUGCCGCUUUAUUGUAGCGUGACCGCGAGAACUUGUCUAAACCUUAUCAUCUAGAGGAAGGUGAAGUCGUAACA